UGUUGAGAGCAUUCGGAGUCAUUAAAAAAUAUUAGGAGUCAUUCGAAUAUUGGGAGCAAUUGAGUAGAUAGUUGUACUGAAACUAGGCAUUAAGUUGCUUUUCGUUCCGAAAAGAGUUAGGAUUUAUUGAAAGUUAUUGAAAGGUAAUUGGAACAACAGGGAACCAUAUGAAGUCAUUAGUGGGAAAUAUUAAAAAUCAGUGAAAAGAUUUUGGGCACAAUUUCGAGAAUAAGAUCCAUUAAGAUUAAAUGAAAGAUGUGGUAAGAAGACAGGUUCAUGUUAAUGAAACGUAUUGGGUGUCGCUUAGAGCCAUUAGAAGCCAUAGGAGGCUAUUAAGCAGGAAUUGAAAGUGACUAAGUGUUGAUUAAAAGAUAUUGGAUACAACUUGAAACUAUUUACAGGUAUUGGGAACUAUAGAAAAUCAUUUGUAGGAGAUGUUAAGUGUCACGUGACGCCUUAGUCUCUUUUAGUAGCACAUGAGAGGUGAUGAGCGCCGCUGGUUAGGUUUUAGAGGAAUUGAGACCUAUUCAGGAUCAAUUCGGAACCUUUCGGACCAAUUGAGUGCAAGUGGAAGUAUUGGGAGUAACAUGUAAUGUUGAGCAAGGAUUGGAAGCAAAUGGCAGCCACUGAGAAUUAUCGAAAGUAUAUUCACAGCAAUUUGGAACUAUUUAGGAACAAUCAGUCUAAAACAACUGCUCUUAUGUGAUAUCAUAAUCAGAAUCUGAUAAAGAAGUGGAAAAUUAUAGGACUUGAACACAUAAACUACUGUUGUAAAACUGUAAAGACAAUUGAAGCUGAUUGCAAACAUGAAGAAAUUAGCUGCUCUAAUCCGUUCAAUAGAUUGAACAACUAAUUGUCUUGUAUGUAAUUAGUGUGGACACUUUAUGCAAAAAUUAUUCCAGACGUAUUGAUAUAUUUGUUGUCGGUUAUACAUACAGAACGGGUUAACAUUGUACUACAUGAUAAGAGGUGAUUA